rnacentral:rRNA from 1 species
GACGAACGCUGGCGGCGUGCUUAACACAUGCAAGUCGAACGGAAAGGCCUGCUUUCCCUUGUGGAUUGCGGGUACUCGAGUGGCGAACGGGUGAGUAACACGUGAGUGAUCUGCCCCCAACUUGGGUAUAAGCCUGGGAAACUGGGUCUAAUUCCCGAUAGGACUGCAGGGUGGUGCCUGUGGUGGAAAACGAUUUUCUAGUGGUUGGGGAUGAGCUCGCGGCCUAUCAGCUUGUUGGUGGGGUAAUGGCCUACCAAGGCGGCGACGGGUAGCCGGCCGGAGAGGGUGGACGGCCACAUUGGGACUGAGAUACGGCCCAGACUCCUACGGGAGGCAGCAGUGGGGAAUAUUGCACAAUGGGCGGAAGGCUGAUGCAGCGACGCCGCGUGGGGGAUGACGGCCUUCGGGUUGUAAACUCCUUUCGACCGCGAGGAAGCCACCUGGUUGGAAGGGUGGUGACGGUAGUGGUAGAAGAAGCACCGGCUAACUACGUG